rnacentral:tRNA from 1 species
AUAAGAAGCAAAAAUUGCAUUUAGUUUCGACCUAAAUUUUUGAUAAUUAAAAAUUAUCCUUAUU